UUGAACGCUGGCGGAAUGCUUUACACAUGCAAGUCGAGCGGCAGCGCGGGGCAACCUGGCGGCGAGCGGCGAACGGGUGAGUAACAUAUCGGAACGUACCCUAUCGUGGGGGAUAACACAUCGAAAGAUGUGCUAAUACCGCAUACGACCUGAGGGUGAAAGCGGGGGAUUCGUAAGAACCUCACGCAAUUAGAGCGGCCGAUGUCGGAUUAGCUAGUUGGUGGGGUAAAGGCUCACCAAGGCGACGAUCCGUAGCGGGUCUGAGAGGAUGAUCCGCCACACUGGGACUGAGACACGGCCCAGACUCCUACGGGAGGCAGCAGUGGGGAAUUUUGGACAAUGGGCGAAAGCCUGAUCCAGCCAUGCCGCGUGAGUGAAGUAGGCCUUCGGGUUGUAAAGCUCUUUCAGCCGGAAAGAAAUCGCGCAGGCUAAUACUCUGCGUGGAUGACGGUACCGGAAGAAGAAGCACCGGCUAACUACGU
rnacentral:rRNA from 1 species